rnacentral:rRNA from 1 species
AUACGUAAUGUGAAUUGCAGAAUUCAGUGAAUCAUCGAAUCUUUGAACGCAUCUUGCGCCUCUUGGUAUUCCGAGGGGCACACCCGUUUGAGUGUCGUG